rnacentral:rRNA from 1 species
UGCAAGUCGAGGGGUAACGGAAGUAGCUUGCUACUAGACGACGACCGGCGCACGGGUGAGUAACGCGUAUGUAAUCUGCCUUGUACAGAGGGAUAGCCCAGAGAAUUUUGGAUUAAUACCUCAUAGUAUUACCGAAUCGCAUGAUUUGGUAAUUAAAGCUCCGGCGGUACAAGAUGAACAUGCGUGACAUUAGCUAGUUGGUAAGGUAACGGCUUACCAAGGCCACGAUGUCUAGGGGUUCUGAGAGGAUGAUCCCCCACACUGGUACUGAGACACGGACCAGACUCCUACGGGAGGCAGCAGUGAGGAAUAUUGGUCAAUGGACGCAAGUCUGAACCAGCCAUCCCGCGUGAAGGAUGACUGCCCUAUGGGUUGUAAACUUCUUUUAUAUGCAAAUAAACCUACUUUCGUGAAAGUAGCUGAAGGUAGCAUAUGAAUAAACACCGGCUAACUCCGUGCCAGCAGCCGCGGUAAUACGGAGGGUGUAAGCGUUAUCCGGAUUUAUUGGGUUUAAAGGGUACGUAGGCGGUAAUAUAAGUCAGUGGUGAAAUCCUGCAGCUCAACUGUAGAACUGCCAUUGAAACUGUAU